UGUGUGGGUGUGGUGUGGUGUGGUGUGUGUGUGUGGGUGGUGUGGUGUGGUGUGGUGCGUGCGUGCGUGCGUGCGUGCGCGCGCGCUGACCCGUCUGUCCCACACGCGGACGUCCCCGUCGUGGCUGGACGCCAGCAGGUUCGGGUUCUUGCGGUUCCACUUGACCUGCGAGGCUCCGGCUGGAGAGCAGACAGACAGGGUUUUCGCGGGAACACCUGCGCGUCACGCGCACGCAGACGUACCUGUGCGUCCCUGAACUCCACCACCACAUUCUCGCUGCUCCAGCGCGCCGCCAUCUUUGCUUCUUCUCCGGCAACAACACCACGUGACCCGGCGGUGACGUCACGUGAAUAGAAAAUGAUGGAGGAAACAGCGGCGAGGCUCGGAUCAGAGGAGGCAGCAGUGAAGCUCCGAGCGUUCAAGAGAACAGUGGAACGAGCCCUGUCCUCUGAGGCUGGAAUGGCUUCACAGCCAAUAAUGUGUAAAAUAAAAUAUUUGUCUGGCCCGCCGCCGCUGUGCACCCGGGACAAGUCACACACAAGCCUGUCACAUACCUGUCAAUCAAAAAAGGGAAGGGGCGGGGCUAAAAUAGCGCAACAACCAAAGAAAACAAGCAUUGUUGUCACGUGAGUCUGCUGCUGUGUGCCGCUUAGAAGUGACCAUAAAUCCAUCAGUUUUCAACUUCUGAUCAAGUUUAUUGUAAACAUACAUGGAGGACACACAGAC